GGCUGGUCCGAGUGCAGUGGUGUUUACUACGAAUUGAUCACAACCAGUUAUAGAUUCCUUUGUUCCUUCUCCUGCUGCUUCACUUGACUAGCCUUUA
rnacentral:Y_RNA from 1 species